UAGGGAAUCUUCCACAAUGGACGCAAGUCUGAUGGAGCAACGCCGCGUGAGUGAAGAAGGUUUUCGGACCGUAAAGCUCUGUUGUUGGUGAAGAAGGAUAGAGGUAGUAACUGGCCUUUAUUUGACGGUAAUCAACCAGAAAGUCACGGCUAACUACGUGCCAGCAGCCGCGGUAAUACGUAGGUGGCAAGCGUUGUCCGGAUUUAUUGGGCGUAAAGCGAGCGCAGGCGGAAGAAUAAGUCUGAUGUGAAAGCCCUCGGCUUAACCGAGGAAUUGCAUCGGAAACUGUUUUCUUGAGUGCAGAAGAGGAGAGUAGAACUCCAUGUGUAGCGGUGGAAUGCGUAGAUAUAUGGAAGAAUACCAGUGGCGAAGGCGGCUCUCUGGUCUGCAACUGACGCUGAGGCUCGAAAGCAUGGUAGCGAACAGGAUUAGAUACCCUGGUAGUCCAUGCCGUAAACGAUGAGUGCUAAGUGUUGGGAGGCUUCCGCCUCUCAGUGCUGCAGCUAACGCAUUAAGCACUCCGCCUGGGGGAGUACGACCGCAAGGU
rnacentral:rRNA from 1 species